rnacentral:rRNA from 1 species
AGAGCGAACGCUGGCGGCAGGCCUAACACAUGCAAGUCGAGCGGCCGUAGCAAUACGGCAGCGGCAGACGGGAUAGUAACACGUGGGAACGCGCCCUUCGGUUCGGAAUAACUCAGGGAAACUUGAGCUAAUACCGGAUACGCCCUUACGGGGAAAGAUUUAUUGCCGAAGGAACGGCCCGCGUCCGAUUAGCUAGUUGGUGAGGUAAUGGCUCACCAAGGCUCCGAUCGGUAGCUGGUCUGAGAGGAUGACCAGCAUCACUGGGACUGAGACACGGCCCAGACUCCUACGGGAGACAGCAGUGGGGAAUAUUGGACAAUGGGCGCAAGCCUGAUCCAGCCAUGCCGCGUGGAUGAUGAAGGCCUUAGGGUUGUAAAGUCCUUUUAACGGGGAAGAUAAUGACGGUACCCGUAGAAUAAGCCCCGGCUAACUUCGCGCCAGCAGCCGC